rnacentral:rRNA from 1 species
UACAGAGACUGCAAGCGUUAUUCGGAUUCACUGGGCGUAAAGGGUGCGCAGGCGGCCAAGUGUGUGAGGCGUGAAAGCCUGGGGCUUAACUCCAGAAUUGCACCUCAAACUACUUGGCUAGAGCAUUGGAGAGGGUAGCAGAAUUCAUGGUGUAGCAGUGAAAUGCGUAGAUAUCAUGAGGAAUACCAGAGGCGAAGGCGGCUACCUGGACAAUUGCUGACGCUCAGGCACGAAAGCGUGGGGAGCAAAAGGG